UACAGAGGUGCCGAGCGUUAGGCGGAAUCACUGGGCUUAAAGCGCGUGUAGGCGGGCCGGUAAGUGCCUCGUGAAAUCCCACGGCUCAACCGUGGAACGGCCGGGCAUACUGGCGGCCUUGAGGUGCGUAGGGGCGAGCGGAACGAACGGUGGAGCGGUGAAAUGCGUAGAUAUCGUUCGGAACGCCGACGGUGAAAACAGCUCGCUGGGCGCAUCCUGACGCUGAGACGCGAAAGCCAGGGGAGCGAACGGG
rnacentral:rRNA from 1 species